UGUAUGUGGUUUUGUAUUUUGUUUAACUGUAGACAAAGAAUUACAUCUAUGGACAACAAAUAAAUUCUUCUGUUGCAACCCAGAACUCACCGUUCAAUACAAAUUUUGUACAUUUAGUAAAGAACAUA